GUUUCUGUGGCUCAGUUGGUAGAGCAUGGUGUUUGCAAUGGUGUUUGCAACGCCAGGGUUGUGGGUUCGAUUCCCACGGGGGGCC
rnacentral:tRNA from 1 species